rnacentral:rRNA from 1 species
UGGGGAAUAUUGCACAAUGGAGGGAACUCUGAUGCAGCGACGCCGCGUGAACGAAGAAGGCUUUCGAGUCGUAAAGUUCUUUUAUAUGGGAUGAUAAUGACGGUACCAUAAGAAGAAGCCCCGGCUAACUACGUGCCAGCAGCCGCGGUAAUACGUAGGGGGCUAGCGUUGUCCGGAAUCACUGGGCGUAAAGGGUUCGCAGGCGGAAAUGCAAGUCAGGUGUAAAAGGCAGUAGCUUAACUACUGUAAGCAUUUGAAACUGCAUAUCUUGAGAAGAGUAGAGGUAAGUGGAAUUUUUAGUGUAGCGGUGAAAUGCGUAGAUAUUAAAAAGAAUACCGGUGGCGAAGGCGACUUACUGGGCUCAUUCUGACGCUGAGGAACGAAAGCGUGGGUAGCAAACAGG